rnacentral:tRNA from 1 species
GGUCAGGUAGCCUAGUGGUUAAGGCAGCCCAUGCAUGUUGAGUCUGGAUCCAUUGAAUCUGGUUGCUGGUUCAAAUCUAGCCCUGACCA